AAUAUUGGACUAUGGGCGCAAGCCUGAUCCAGCCAUGCCGCGUGAGUGAUGAAGGCCNNNGGGUUNUCAUGCUCUUUCAACGGNGACNAUAAUGACGGUAACCGUAGAAGAAGCCCCGGCUAACUCCGUGCCAGCAGCCGCGGUAAUACGAAGGGGGCUAGCGUUGUUCGGAAUUACUGGGCGUAAAGCGCACGUAGGCGGAUCGAUCAGUUAGGGGUGAAAUCCCAGGGCUCAACCCUGGAACUGCCUCUAAUACUGUCGAUCGCGAGUUCGAGAGAGGUGAGUGGAAUUCCGAGUGUAGAGGUGAAAUUCGUAGAUAUUCGGAGGAACACCAGUGGCGAAGGCGGCUCACUGGCUCGAUACUGACGCUGAGGUGCGAAAGCGUGGGGAGCAAACA
rnacentral:rRNA from 1 species